GUCUAUUUGAAGAUAUAAAAAGUCUAGCCUGCCCACUGAUAUAAAAAUUUUUAAGGGCCGCGGUAUUUCUGACUGUGCAAAGGUAGCAUAAUCGUUAGUUUUUUAAUUGGAAUCUUGUAUGAAUGGUUUGACAAGAAAAAAUCUGUCUUUGUAAUUACUUAUUGAAUUUAACUUUUAAGUGAAAAGGCUUAAAUGAUUUAAAAAGACGAUAAGACCCUAUAAAACUUAAUAUUAAUUAACUAUUCAAAUAAAAUUUUAAGUAUAUAAAUAUUUAUUAGUUAAUUUUUAUUUUAUUGGGGUGAUAAUGGUAAAAUGGUUAUUAACUGUUAAUUGUUUUAUAACAAAAAUUGUUGAAUAAAAAAUUAAAAUAAAUGAUCCUUAUUAAAGAUUAAAAGUUUAAGUUACUUUAGGGAUAACAGCGUUAUUUUUUUUGAGAGUUCUUAUCGAGAAAAAAGUUUGCGACCUCGAUGUUGAAUUAAAAUAUCUAUAUAAUUGUAGCAGUUAUAUAAGAAGGUCUGUUCGACCUUUAAAUUUUUACAUGAUUUGAGUUCAAACCGGUGUGAGCCAGGUUGGUUUCUAUCUUUUAAUAUAUUGAAAAUUAU
rnacentral:rRNA from 1 species